rnacentral:rRNA from 1 species
AACGAACGCUGGCGGCAGGCUUAACACAUGCAAGUCGAACGCCCCGCAAGGGGAUUGGCAGACUGGUGAUUAACGCGUGGGAACAUACCCUUUCCUGCGGAAUAGCUCCUGGACACUGGAAUUAAUACCGCAUACGCCCUACGGGGGAAAGAUUUAUCGGGGAAGGAUUGGCCCGCGUUGGAUUAGCUAGUUGGUGGGUUAAAGGCCUACCAAGGCGACGAUCCAUAGCUGGUCUGAGAGGAUGAUCAGCCACAUUGGGACUGAGACACGGCCCAAACUCCUACGGGAGGCAGCAGUGGGGAAUAUUGGACAAUGGGCGCAAGCCUGAUCCAGCCAUGCCGCGUGAGUGAUGAAGGACUUAGGGUUGUAAAGCUCUUUCAACGAUGAAGAUAAUGACGGUAGUCGGAGAAGAAGCCACGGCUAACUUCGUG